CUUGGUGACAAUAGCAUUGUGGUCCCACCUGAUCCCAUCCCGAACUCAGAAGUGAAACGCAAUCGCGCCGAUGGUAGUGUGGGG
rnacentral:rRNA from 1 species